rnacentral:rRNA from 1 species
GAAGCUGGAAUUGCUAGUAAUCACAGGUCAGCAUACUGUGGUGAAUACGUUCCCGGGCCUUGUACACACCGCCCGUCACACCAUGAGAGUUGAGAAUACCCGAAGCCCAUGUCAAAGUGGUCGAAGGUAGGCUUGAUGAUUGGGGUGAAGUCGUAACAAGGUACC